rnacentral:rRNA from 1 species
AACGAACGCUGGCGGCAGGCUUAACACAUGCAAGUCGAGCGCCUGGAGCAAUCCGGGAGCGGCGGACGGGUGCGUAACGCGUGGGAACAUGCCCUUUGGUUCGGAAUAACUCAGGGAAACUUGAGCUAAUACCGGAUAAGUCCGUAUCUGUGACAGGAUAUGGAGAAAGAUUUAUCGCCGAAGGAUUGGCCCGCGUCCGAUUAGCUGGUUGGUGAGGUAACGGCUCACCAAGGCGACGAUCGGUAGCUGGUCUGAGAGGAUGAUCAGCCACACUGGG